ACAUUUUUCGUCGAUAUGAACAGUUCUUGAAGAUAAAUAAAGAGAUUUAUGUACAUACUAUGUAGUCAGAAGCGUUUUUGAUAAAUUUUCCAAAUGGCUACACCAAAAUCGAUCAAAUCAGUAGCGGUAUCAUUGGUGAAAAAUACUUUAUCACCCAGAAACCCCGCUUUUUUAGAAGUCCCUUCACCAAAAUUCUUAAGUACUCCUGAAAAACGCAUCAGAUCACCCGUUUCGCGAAAAUGUUUGAAUUUUUCACCAUCACAAAACGGCCAAAAUUUAAAUGCUCUCAGUACAAGAAGCUCCAAUUUAUUGUUCGUGCCAGAUAACUCGAAAAACAACUGUAAAAAGAGUAUACUCAUCGAUACUCCAACCAAAUCAGAUUUGAUGAAAAAUGGCCUGACGGGCAGAAAAACAGUGAUGGAUAUAUUGGGAAAAGGUUCUUUCGGUACUGUUGUGAAGGGUUCUUAUAGGAAUUCCCUGGUUGCUGUGAAGAUAACCAAAGGCAACGAAAAAUGUCCAUCUGAUGUUCACGCCAAAGGACUACGACACGAAAAUAUUGUCCAGGUAUUGGACAUAAUCAUGAAACCUAAAGCAGAAUACGCUAUUGUGAUAAUGGAGUAUCUGGAAGGAUCCAAAAAUCUCCAAUCCGUUAUAGAUAGUUAUAGCUCUGAUAUAAGCGAGGAAAUAAAGAAGAAAUUCAUCCAACAGAUCUGUCUGGGACUACAGUUUUGCCACUUGAAUGGAAUAUUACAUUUGGAUCUCAAACCCAAGAACAUCCUGGUAUUACCGAAUGAUCAGUGUAAAAUAUGCGACUUUGGCAACUCCUGUAAGGUAGAAAACACGAAGAAUUACAUCUAUCAGAAGCCCAGAAGAAAACUGUUUUUUAGGGAACUGUGGCUUACGCUGCUCCAGAACUACUUCGAGGGCAUGAACCUACAGAAAAAUGUGAUUUAUACUCGCUGGGCAUAACCAUUUGGCAGUUGGAAUACAAGAAAAAUCCCUACGAAAAUUGGAGUAGUUCAAAAUGUUUAGUUUACAACGUUGUCAAGUAUAAUGUUCGCCCGGUAUAUGAACAUCGGAACGAUGUCAUAACAAAAAUCUUCGUGAAUUGUUGGAGCGAAAAUCCUUUCUGUAGGCCAGAAUUGAAAAAUAUUCUGAGGAUGCUGUGAUUGCUUAUUUCUCCAUAUGGUGGAUUAUUUGUUUUAAAACACGAAUUUUAUUAAAUUAAAUAAAGAAUAAAAGUCUU